GCUUGUUUAGCUCAAUUGGUAGAGCGUAAGGCUCUUAACCUUGUGGUUGUGGGUUUGAAACCCAUGAUGGGCU
rnacentral:tRNA from 1 species